AGCAGCCGCGGUAAUUCCAGCUCCAAUAGCGUAUAUUAAAGUUGUUGCAGUUAAAAAGCUCGUAGUUGAAUUUCGGGAUCAAUAUGUUGGUCGUGCCUCGGUACGUACUAGCAUAUUGGUUUCUCCUUUCUGAAGAACCAUGAUGUCAUUUAUUUGGUGUCGUGGGGAAUCAGGACUGUUACUUUGAAAAAAUUAGAGUGUUUAAAGCAGGCUCACGCUUGAAUACAUUAGCAUGGAAUAAUGAAAUAGGACGUUUGAUUCUAUUUUGUUGGUUUCUAGGAUCGACGUAAUGAUUAAUAGGGAUAGUUGGGGGCAUUAGUAUUCAAUUGUCAGAGGUGAAAUUCUUGGAUUUAUUGAAGACUAACUACUGCGAAAGCAUUUGCCAAGGAUGUUUUCAUUAAUCAAGAACGAAAGUUAGGGGAUCGAAGACGAUCAGAUACCGUCGUAGUCUUAACCAUAAACUAUGCC
rnacentral:rRNA from 1 species